GAUGAACGCUGGCGGCGUGCCUAAUACAUGCAAGUCGAGCGAACGGACGAGAAGCUUGCUUCUCUGAUGUUAGCGGCGGACGGGUGAGUAACACGUGGAUAACCUACCUAUAAGACUGGGAUAACUUCGGGAAACCGUAGCUAAUACCGGAUAAUAUUUUGAACCGCACGGUUCAAAAGUGAAAGACGGUCUUGCUGUCACUUAUAGAUGGAUCCGCGCUGCAUUAGCUAGUUGGUAAGGUAACGGCUUACCAAGGCAACGAUGCAUAGCCGACCUGAGAGGGUGAUCAGCCACACUGGAACUGAGACACGGUCCAGACUCCUACGGGAGGCAGCAGUAGGGAAUCUUCCGCAAUGGGCGAAAGCCUGACGGAGCAACGCCGCGUGAGUGAUGAAGGUCUUCGGAUCGUAAAACUCUGUUAUUAGGGAAGAACAUAUGUGUAAGUAACUGUGCACAUCUUGACGUUACCUAAUCAGAAAGCCACGGCUAACUACGUG
rnacentral:rRNA from 1 species